AAGCAGACAGUACAUGUCUGCAGGUCCCAUAAUUGAUGUUGCAGUCACAGCUGGGAAGUUAAGUGAAAUGCACUUGCCACACUGGAUCUGUAUAGACGACAUCCCCGACAUACCGGACAGGUUUGCGGUCCUUCACAUAGACGACUGUGGAGAUUUUGUAGAAAAAGUGUCUGAAGUCACACCAACACAUGUCAAGUUGAACGAACUAACUUUUUUUCCGAGAGCAGUCGCUCUGAAGUUGGGCUCCCCCGUUAAAAUCAGCUGUAAUGUGUUGAUAUACUAUAAACCCAACACUCCGUUUCUCAAGCUCCGCGUCUACCUGAUUCCAAAUGACCCUGCUCUACAACAGAAAAUGGACAAGCAAGAAUCCUGUAGUGGCUAUGAAAAAAUUACCAAGCUGCGCCCAGAGAAGCACCUCAAAAUGCAUCACGGUUUCUCCCUCACAGCCGACACAGACUCAGCACAAAUUCAACCACAGAAAAUAACCCUGAGAAAUGAUAGCCAAGACCCAAACUUCUAUGAGGUGUACAUUGAAAAUCCAGAAAGAUGCUUCAACCUGAAACUUCAGUAUGCCUUGUCAAAAAAACACGAACAGGUGUAUGAACCAGUUUGGACCUGUGAACUCCGAAAAGAUGAUCAUCCAAAGUCAGGUUACGGGGAAGGUGCAAGAUCCUCGAGGGGAGUAACUGGUGUCAGUACUUUGGCUGUUGGUUUAAUACAGGCUUUACAGAUAACAGAAACCCAACAACCUGCAGCAGUGAUGUUUGCCAGUGGUUUGUGUUGGAGCAGUGUGAAUCUGUAUUUUCCCACCAGCCUGCUCAAAUAUUUAUUUGCACUCACACACAGAAACUUGCAGGCCGGACCAUAAAAUGAUCUGCGUUUAUUCUGCUCUAACUGCCACUCCUUUAAAUAUUUCCAUCAGCCUGGCACAUCUCUGCUCCAAACCCAUGGAGGUCGAUUAGGAAAAUACUUUUUGAAUCUCUAAGAAAGUGUCUGAUGUGAUUACCGCCCUUGAUUGUGAGGACUGAGUGUUUUAUCAAUAACAGAAAGUGAUAGAUUCCUGAUUUCUUUUUGUGCUCCUCAGACAAACACUCUGUGGAUAAGCUGCCUGCUGUGACACAGAAAGUUUCAGUGUCGAUGCCCGUCUGAGCGCUGGAGUCCCCCAGCUUCCAGACAGCUUCCAGCACCCAACCCAAAGAUUCCAGCCAGGAAUGGCCUCUGCCUACAGUUUUCAAAUUUUUAAUAGUUUCAAAAAGAUGCAAUUUGAUUAUUAUUGUUGAUAAAUUAGCAUUUAUACCAUUAUGUAUUCUGUUCAACCAUGUAGUUUUUUUUUUACGUGUCUGUGUUGUUUCCUUGUUUUAUGGGACACGUGUUUCUGAAAAAAACGACCUUUGCGUGCUUUACACUAAGAACUUAAAAAUAAUCUUGGCAUCCCAUUUAAUGAAUUGCAUUUUUAAGCUACCAGGUAGUAACAAUGCCUGCUGCCUGUAAACAUUCAAAAUGUUUUGUUACGCUAAAAUCUGAUAAAUGCCUAAUAAAUGAUGUUUGUGUGUUUCCAAGAAAUUAUGGCCUUAAAAGAACAUAAGAAGCAAGUGUAACGGCUACCCGAUUAUUUUAAUGUGGCUCUUUUUUCUUUUUGGCAUUAUGUUAAAGAAGAGUCAGUGAAAUAGAAAUGUCAACAGACGCAUCUUCUUUAGGAAAACAAGAAACAGUUCAAGAAGUUAAGUGUGUUUCAGCCA